rnacentral:sRNA from 12 species
GAAGCGCGAACCAAGCGGGCGCAUAAGGGCGCUGUGAGGCUUGGAGCUGGCCUUGGUAACGGGGCCAUACA